rnacentral:rRNA from 1 species
UACGUAGGGGGCAAGCGUUGUCCGGAUUUAUUGGGCGUAAAGAGCGUGUAGGCGGCCGUACAGGUCAGCUGUGAAAACUCGAGGCUCAACCUCGAGACGUCGGUUGAAACCGUACGGCUAGAGUCCGGAAGAGGAGAGUGGAAGUUCCCGGUGUAGCGGUGAAAUGCGCAGAUAUCGGGAAGAACACCCGUGGCGAAGGCGGCUCUCUGGGACGGUACUGACGCUGAGACGC